GGAUCCUGGCUCAGGAUGAACGCUAGCGGCAGGCUUAACACAUGCAAGUCGAGGGGCAGCGGGGAGUAGCAAUACUCCGCCGGCGACCGGCGCACGGGUGCGUAACGCGUAUACAACCUACCUUUAACAGGGGCAUGACACUGAGAAAUUGGUACUAAUUCCCCAUAACAUUCGAGAAGGCAUCUUCUUGGGUUAAAAACUCCGGUGGUUAAAGAUGGGCAUGCGUUGUAUUAGCUAGUUGGUGAGGUAACGG
rnacentral:rRNA from 1 species